GACGAACGCUGGCGGCGUGCUUAACACAUGCGAGUCGAACGGAAAGGGCCUGCUGUUGUGGGGUGCUCGAGUGGCGAACGGGUGAGUAACAAGUGAGUAACCUGCCCUUGACUUUGGGAUAACUUCAGGAAACUGGGGCUAAUAACGGAUAGGAACUCCUGCUGCAUGGUGGGGGGUGGAGAGUUUCGGCGGUUGGGGAUGGACUCGCGGCUUAUCAGCUUGUGGGUGGGGUAGUGGCUUACCAAGGCUUUGACGGGUAGCCGGACUGGGAGGGUGACCGGCCACAUUGGGACUGAGAUACGGCCCAGACUCCUACGGGAGGCAGCAGUGGGGAAUAUUGCACAAUGGGCGGAAGCCUGAUGCAGCAACGCCGCGUGCGGGAUGACGGCCUUCGGGUUGUAAACCGCUUUCGCCUGUGACGAAGCGUGAGUGACGGUAAUGGGUAAAGAAGCACCGGCUAACUACGUG
rnacentral:rRNA from 1 species